rnacentral:lncRNA from 1 species
GUUAAUGCCAGGUACAUUUUGGAGGACCUUGAUCAAUGAGAACUACCAAAUCAAAAUUUCUGAAUAGUGACAAGAAAUUUUUAGCAGAGGAUGGCUGAGGGCAGUUAUCCCAGUAUGAAGUUGAUGCCACACUGUUACUGAUGAUUGGACUCUGCUGAUACUUUUGGAUCUUGCUAGGAAGUACAGUUCUCUGCAAUUAUUCAUGGAAUGUUGACUAAUCUGUUGAGGUGCAGCAUACCAGGGUCUUCCCCAACAGUUGGAGACAUCUGUUAAUGGAGUGCUACUUUCCGAGGUAGAACUUUGAACUGUCCUUUUUCCCUAUCCUUCUAAGUUAAGUUCCAUGGACAAGUGAAACAAACUCCAGACUACCACACUCUUUCCGUAUUUUUCCUUUCAAGUCUCGUUUUCUGUCUGAUGUCGCUAUUCAGUGUACUUAUCUCUAUGCUGAUCCCUCAUCUUUUAGUUGCAGGCAUUGCUACAUUGUUUCACACUUGUUAGAUUAUUCAAAUGAGGCAAUGAGUCUCCUAAUACUCACUCAACGAUUCCUCUUAUGUUUUUUUUUCUUCAUUUAGGAGAGAAGAAGACUAUUGACGAUGAUGAGACAAUUGGAAUAACAAGGACAGCACUAUGUACCUCUAUUCUCUUCUUUUGUAUCAACUCCUGGGCUUAGGAUAUUUCGUGAACUAAGGCAGAUUACUGACUAGGAGUGCAACAAGAGAAGCAUAAAAAACUUAAUGGUCUUCUAGUGACUAUUUAGUUAUGAACAUCUCAUGCAAUUUUCUUUUGGUACAUUUCUGGCAACUUUGAAGGAAUGGAAAUUACCAAAUAAGAAAGUUUUGAAUAUAUUUGAGCAGAGUGAGGCAGAGGUAGUUAUACCAGUAUGAAGAUGUUGGACAGUUGGCCCCCGAUUGGAGCGUACUAAUACUGCUGGAUCCAACUAGAGAGACGCUAAUUAACAUCUAUUCACGGAGUGCUUAAUUGCUUAUAGUCUAUUGAUAUUGUCCCCAUGAUUUUCCCUGCAUCUCUACCUUCAAGUAGGUAGUGGUUCAGGUUCUUUAUGAAUGUCAGUAUUUUAUUGGCAGGAAUUUGCAGCUAUAUAGUAUCUUGACAGUCUAUACAUUUUUCUCUAUGCUAAAAUUUCAUUUUGUGUUGCAUUAGCAGAAGACAUUGUCUAGAUUGUUUUCACCUGUCAUGGAUACUCGAACAAUGCAAUGGCAAUCUGAGAACUCAACUCAACCCGUUCUUGUAUGGAUGCCUCUUUUUUUCUCCUCACUCAGGACUCAG